CAGUACAACGAAGAGGGACUUUCCAUGAAAUUUACCAUUCCAGGCUCAAAGGCAGAAGACCGGGGCUCCAGGCGGGUUAACACGCGGACCCUGCCCCCUCCUAUGCGGCGCCGUUUAGAUCUGCUGCUAAACUCCUUUUUUCAAUUGUUUUUUAACCUAAAACAUCAUUCCUUUUCCCCUUUUGAAAUAAAUUAUGCUAUCAGCCCCUUAUUUUAGGGUUUCAUUUAGCCUAUCACCGCCGAAAAUGAAGCUCUUAGAACUCCAAAGCCAGUUUGCAGCCUCAAGACCACUCCUCAAACUUCAGUUUAGCGAAGCAAAGAAGAACCCGUGGCGAAUUUGCAAGAGCUGGGCGUACGGAGAAGAAGACCCCGGGUGAUGUGGAGGCUGGGCGGAAGGGUCUCUCGUGUGAGACCAACUUUCUGGUGCCUCUCUAGCUUGUUCCAGACUCUUCUGGAAUUCACAAGAAGCUGAAACAAUUUUGGGUAUGUUGGGCUUCGGGUUUUGGGCUUAUUUAGGCUAAUUUUAUUUGGAUUUUGGAAAUUUAGAAUUUGGGUCAGAGUUUUGGGGUAUUUGGUUAAAAAAAAUAGGUUUAUUUUAUUUUGGCCCAAAUAUUUGUAUUGGACUUUUAAUUUUGGAUUUUUAUUAUUUUUGUUUUAUUCUGGUUUUGGGUCUUGAUGUAAGCCCGGGCAAAAAUGGGCCAUUACAACGACCACAAUAUGAAACUUACCCUCAACCUUCCCUAAA